AGAGUUUGAUCCUGGCUCAGGACGAACGCUGGCGGCGUGCUUAACACAUGCAAGUCGAGCGAUGAGCUCCUUCGGGAGUGGAUUAGCGGCGGACGGGUGAGUAACACGUGGGUAACCUGCCUCAUAGAGGGGAAUAGCCUUUCGAAAGGAAGAUUAAUACCGCAUAAGAUUGUAGUACCGCAUGGUACAGCAAUUAAAGGAGUAAUCCGCUAUGAGAUGGACCCGCGUCGCAUUAGCUAGUUGGUGAGGUAACGGCUCACCAAGGCGACGAUGCGUAGCCGACCUGAGAGGGUGAUCGGCCACAUUGGGACUGAGACACGGCCCAGACUCCUACGGGAGGCAGCAGUGGGGAAUAUUGCACAAUGGGGGAAACCCUGAUGCAGCAACGCCGCGUGAGUGAUGACGGCCUUCGGGUUGUAAAGCUCUGUCUUUGGGGACGAUAAUGACGGUACCCAAGGAGGAAGCCACGGCUAACUACGUGCCAGCAGCCGCGGUAAUACGUAGGUGGCAAGCGUUGUCCGGAUUUACUGGGCGUAAAGGGAGC
rnacentral:rRNA from 1 species